UACGGGGGGAGCAAGCGUUGUUCGGAUUUACUGGGCGUAAAGGGCGCGUAGGCGGCCACCGCAAGUCGACUGUGAAAUCUCCGGGCUUAACUCGGAACGGUCAGAUGAUACUGCUUUGCUAGAGUACAGAAGGGGCAAUCGGAAUUCUUGGUGUAGCGGUGAAAUGCGUAGAUAUCAAGAGGAACACCUGAGGUGAAGGCGGCUUGCUGGGCAUGAUCUGACGCUGAGGCGCGAAAGCGUGGGGAGCAAACAGG
rnacentral:rRNA from 1 species